AACGAACGCUGGCGGCAUGCCUAACACAUGCAAGUCGAACGAGCCCUUCGGGUCUAGUGGCGCACGGGUGCGUAACGCGUGGGAACCUGCCCUUAGGUUCGGAAUAACUCCCCGAAAGGGGUGCUAAUACCGGAUCAUGUCUUCGGACCAAAGAUUUAUCGCCUUUGGAUGGGCCCGCGUUGGAUUAGCUAGUUGGUAGGGUAAAAGCCUACCAAGGCGACGAUCCAUAGCUGGUCUGAGAGGAUGAUCAGCCACACUGGGACUGAGACACGGCCCAGACUCCUACGGGAGGCAGCAGUGGGGAAUAUUGGACAAUGGGCGAAAGCCUGAUCCAGCAAUGCCGCGUGAGUGAUGAAGGCCUUAGGGUUGUAAAGCUCUUUUACCCGGGAUGAUAAUGACGGUACCGGGAGAAUAAGCUCCGGCUAACUCCGUG
rnacentral:rRNA from 1 species